GGUUCCUCGCAGCUGGUGGCGCUCUGCCCUGGGCCCGGGGAGGCAGCGGGGGAAGCGGGGACAGCCACCACGGGGGAGCCAGCUAUGUCCCUGAGAGGACCUCUUCGCUGCAGCGGCAGAGACUCUCCGAAGACUCCCAGUCCUCUCUCCUCUCCAAACCCGUCAGCAGCCUGUUUCAGAACUGGCCCAAACCACCUCUGCCGCCACUCCCCACAGGAAGCGGGGUCCCCCCUUCGGCCGCUGCAGCUCCAGGAGCCACCUCACCCUCAGCCUCCUCCUCCACGUCCACCCGCCACCUCCAAGGCGUGGAGUUCGAGAUGCGGCCACCUCUGCUCCGCCGGGCCCCAAGCCCCUCACUGCUGCCCGCCUCGGAGCACAAGGUCAGCCCUGCACCCAGGCCCUCGUCCCUGCCCAUCCUGCCUUCCGGACCCCUGUAUCCGGGCCUCUUUGACAUCCGUGGCUCCCCAACCGGAGGGGCAGGAGGCUCAGCUGACCCUUUCGCCCCUGUCUUUGUGCCACCCCACCCCGGGAUAUCCGGGGGGCUUGGUGGAGCCUUGUCAGGGGCCUCCCGCUCCCUUUCACCGACCCGCCUGCUUUCGCUGCCCCCGGACAAGCCCUUCGGCGCUAAACCUCUGGGGUUCUGGACCAAGUUCGAUGUGGCUGAUUGGCUUGAGUGGCUGGGCUUGGCUGAGCACCGAGCACAGUUCCUGGACCACGAGAUUGAUGGCUCCCACCUGCCCGCCUUGACCAAGGAGGAUUAUGUCGAUCUGGGUGUGACGAGGGUGGGCCACCGCAUGAACAUCGACCGGGCUCUCAAAUUUUUCCUGGAGAGGUGAUGGCUGGCCUGGACGGACCAGCCGUCCACAGAACCCUUGAGCCUACUGGCCUCUUGACCUCUGACCCCUGACCCUUAUUCUCUCCCCCUGGGCCAGGGACUCUGCUAGAACUGCUGUGCCCUGCCCUCCUCUCCCAAGGCCGGAGGUCACCACGUGGCCUGAUCCCGGCCAGACAUUUGCGCCUCACUGAAGGGGGUAGCUGACACAGACUGUGUGUGUAUGUGAAGCAUGGAUGGU
rnacentral:lncRNA from 12 species